rnacentral:rRNA from 1 species
GACGAACGCUGGCGGCGUGCCUAAUACAUGCAAGUAGAACGCUGAAGGAGGAGCUUGCUUCUCUGGAUGAGUUGCGAACGGGUGAGUAACGCGUAGGUAACCUGCCUGGUAGCGGGGGAUAACUAUUGGAAACGAUAGCUAAUACCGCAUAAGAGUAGAUGUUGCAUGACAUUUGCUUAAAAGGUGCAAUUGCAUCACUACCAGAUGGACCUGCGUUGUAUUAGCUAGUUGGUGAGGUAACGGCUCACCAAGGCAACGAUACAUAGCCGACCUGAGAGGGUGAUCGGCCACACUGGGACUGAGACACGGCCCAGACUCCUACGGGAGGCAGCAGUAGGGAAUCUUCGGCAAUGGACGGAAGGUCUGACCGAGCAACGCCGCG